rnacentral:rRNA from 1 species
ACCGAGAUUCAACAUGGAACGAGUGGCGGACGGGUGAGUAACACGUGGGUAACCUGCCCUUAAGUGGGGGAUAACAUUUGGAAACAGAUGCUAAUACCGCAUAGAUCCAAGAACCGCAUGGUUCUUGGCUGAAAGAUGGCGUAAGCUAUCGCUUUUGGAUGGACCCGCGGCGUAUUAGCUAGUUGGUGAGGUAACGGCUCACCAAGGCGAUGAUACGUAGCCGAACUGAGAGGUUGAUCGGCCACAUUGGGACUGAGACACGGCCCAAACUCCUACGGGAGGCAGCAGUAGGGAAUCUUCCACAAUGGACGCAAGUCUGAUGGAGCAACGCCGCGUGAGUGAAGAAGGCUUUCGGGUCGUAAAACUCUGUUGUUGGAGAAGAAUGGUCGGCAGAGUAACUGUUGUCGGCGUGACGGUAUCCAACCAGAAAGCCACGGCUAACUACGUGCCAGCAGCCGCGGUAAUACGUAGGUGGCAAGCGUUAUCCGGAUUUAUUGGGCGUAAAGCGAGCGCAGGCGGUUUUUUAAGUCUGAUGUGAAAGCCCUCGGCUUAACCGAGGAAGCGCAUCGGAAACUGGGAAACUUGAGUGCAGAAGAGGACAGUGGAACUCCAUGUGUAGCGGUGAAAUGCGUAGAUAUAUGGAAGAACACCAGUGGCGAAGGCGGCUGUCUGGUCUGUAACUGACGCUGAGGCUCGAAAGCAUGGGUAGCGAACAGGAUUAGAUACCCUGGUAGUCCAUGCCGUAAACGAUGAAUGCUAGGUGUUGGAGGGUUUCCGCCCUUCAGUGCCGCAGCUAACGCAUUAAGCAUUCCGCCUGGGGAGUACGACCGCAAGGUUGAAACUCAAAGGAAUUGACGGGGGCCCGCACAAGCGGUGGAGCAUGUGGUUUAAUUCGAAGCAACGCGAAGAACCUUACCAGGUCUUGACAUCUUUUGAUCACCUGAGAGAUCAGGUUUCCCC